rnacentral:rRNA from 1 species
AUUGAACGCUGGCGGCAUGCUUUACACAUGCAAGUCGAACGGUAACAGGGUGCUUGCACCGCUGACGAGUGGCGAACGGGUGAGUAAUGCGUCGGAACGCACCGAGUAAUGGGGGAUAACGCAGCGAAAGCUGUGCUAAUACCGCAUACGCUCUGAGGAGGAAAGCGGGGGACCUUCGGGCCUCGCGUUAUUCGAGCGGCCGACGUCUGAUUAGCUAGUAGGUGAGGUAAGAGCUCACCUAGGCGACGAUCAGUAGCGGGUCUGAGAGGAUGAUCCGCCACACUGGGACUGAGAAACGGCUCAGACUCCUACGGGAGGCAGCAGUGGGGAAUUUUGGACAAUGGGCGCAAGCCUGAUCCAGCCAUGCCGCGUGUCUGAAGAAGGCCUUCGGGUUGUAAAGGACUUUUGUCAGGGAGGAAAUCCUUAGCGCUAAUACCGUUGAGGGAUGACAGUACCUGAAGAAUAAGCACCGGCUAACUACGUGCCAGCCGCCGCCGUAA